UUGCUACAGGCUUAACACAUGCAAGUCGAGGGGCAGCAUGGUCUUAGCUUGCUAAGGCCGAUGGCGACCGGCGCACGGGUGAGUAACACGUAUCCAACCUGCCGUCUACUCUUGGACAGCCUUCUGAAAGGAAGAUUAAUACAAGAUGGCAUCAUGAGUCCGCAUGUUCACAUGAUUAAAGGUAUUCCGGUAGACGAUGGGGAUGCGUUCCAUUAGAUAGUAGGCGGGGUAACGGCCCACCUAGUCUUCGAUGGAUAGGGGUUCUGAGAGGAAGGUCCCCCACAUUGGAACUGAGACACGGUCCAAACUCCUACGGGAGGCAGCAGUGAGGAAUAUUGGUCAAUGGGCGAGAGCCUGAACCAGCCAAGUAGCGUGAAGGAUGACUGCCCUAUGGGUUGUAAACUUCUUUUAUAAAGGAAUAAAGUCGGGUAUGGAUACCCGUUUGCAUGUACUUUAUGAAUAAGGAUCGGCUAACUCCGUGCCAGCAGCCGCGGUAAUACGGAGGAUCCGAGCGUUAUCCGGAUUUAUUGGGUUUAAAGGGAGCGUAGAUGGAUGUUUAAGUCAGUUGUGAAAGUUCGCGGCUCAACCGUAAAAUUGCAGUUGAUACUGGAUAUCUUGAGUGCAGUUGAGGCAGGCGGAAUUCGUGGUGUAGCGGUGAAAUGCUUAGAUAUCACGAAGAACUCCGAUUGCGAAGGCAGCCUGCUAAGCUGCAACUGACAUUGAGGCUCGAAAGUGUGGGUAUCAAACAGGAUUAGAUACCCUGGUAGUCCACACGGUAAACGAUGAAUACUCGCUGUUUGCGAUAUACUGCAAGCGGCCAAGCGAAAGCGUUAAGUAUUCCACCUGGGGAGUACGCCGGCAACGGUGAAACUCAAAGGAAUUGACGGGGGCCCGCACAAGCGGAGGAACAUGUGGUUUAAUUCGAUGAUACGCGAGGAACCUUACCCGGGCUUAAAUUGCAGAUGAAUUACGGUGAAAGCCGUAAGCCGCAAGGCAUCUGUGAAGGUGCCGCAUGGUUGUCGUCAGCUCGUGCCGUGAGGUGUCGGCUUAAGUGCCAUAACGAGCGCAACCCUUGUUGUCAGUUACUAACAGGUUCCGCUGAGGACUCUGACAAGACUGCCAUCGUAAGAUGUGAGGAAGGUGGGGAUGACGUCAAAUCAGCACGGCCCUUACGUCCGGGGCUACACACGUGUUACAAUGGGGGGUACAGAGGGUCGCUACCACGCGAGUGGAUGCCAAUCCCCAAAACCUCUCUCAGUUCGGACUGGAGUCUGCAACCCGACUCCACGAAGCUGGAUUCGCUAGUAAUCGCGCAUCAGCCACGGCGCGGUGAAUACGUUCCCGGGCCUUGUACACACCGCCCGUCAAGCCAUGGGAGCCGGGGGUACCUGAAGUGCGUAACCGCGAGGAGCGCCCUAGGGUAAAACUGGUGACUGGGGCUAA
rnacentral:rRNA from 1 species